AAAGUCGGUCAGGCAAUCGCUUUUUGCUGCUGCAAGAAGAGGAAAGUCCGGGCUCCUUAGGGUAGGAUGCCAGGUAACUCCUGGGAAGUGUGAGCUUACGGAAAGUGCCACAGAAAAUAUACCGCCUGCUCCGUUAACCAGGUUAAUAGAGCAGGUAAGGGUGAAAUGGUGCGGUAAGAGCGCACCGCGCGAUUGGUAACAGUCGUGGCAGGGAAAACCCCAUCCGGAGCAAGACCAAAUAGGAAUCCAUCCCGCUGCAAGGUGGGACGUAUGACCCAUACGGGAUUCGGGUAGGUCGCUUGAGGUAUGUGGUGACGCAUAUCCUAGAUGAAUGAUUGUCCACGACAGAACCCGGCUUAUCGACCGACUUUUUUC
rnacentral:RNase_P_RNA from 1 species